rnacentral:rRNA from 1 species
GAUGAACGCUGGCGGCGUGCCUAAUACAUGCAAGUCGAGCGAACAGACGAGGAGCUUGCUCCUCUGACGAUAGCGGCCGACGGGUGAGUAACAUGUGGAUACCCUACCUAUAAGACUGGGAUAACUUCGGGAAACCGGCGCUUAUACCGGAUAAUAUAUUGAACCGCAUGGUUCAAUAGUGAAAGACGGUUUUGCUGUCACUUAUAGAUGGAUCCGCGCCGCUUUAGCUAGUUGGUAAGGUAACGGCUUACUAAGGCAACGAUGCGUAGCCGACGGGAGAGGGUGAUCGGCCGCACUGGAAGGGAGACACGGUCCAGGGGCCUACGGGAGGCAGCAGGAGGGAAUCGUCCGCAAGGGGCGAGAACCUGACGGAACAGGGCCAAGUGAGUGACGAAGAUUUUCGGAUCGGAAAACUCUGUUAAUAGGGAAGAACAAAUGUGUACGUCGCUAUGCAGGUCUUGACGGUACCUAAUCAAGAAGCCACGGCUAACUACGUG